GAAAAUGAGGGGCAUACCAAUUUUUUAUGAAAAAGGUAGUGCAGACAUAGGAAGUUUGGAAACAAUUGAGUUAAGGAAUUCAAGGAACAAACUAUCUUCAAUCCUUCUAGGACAAGGCUGUGGCCUGUGGAUGUAUGUUGGAAACUUCUCAUUCAUUUUUGGUCUGUAAUGAGAAGUUUCCAAAUUGUACUGUAUAUAUAAUAGGACGAAAUAGAGUGUAACAACUGCACAUGCUACAGAAAUGGUCUGUAACAUGUAACCAAGUCAGCAAAUUAGCCCAUGACUUCCAAAAGAUUGAGCAUUCAUUCUAGAGAUACAAAUGGCUUAAUCAUAUGGUUAUGUCACAAUUCCACACUAAACAUUUAAAGAAGUGCAGUCAGGGCUAGCGCAAGGCAGGUUCAGCGCGUUCGCCGAACCCGGCCCCGCGGUCUACGAAAAUUACCCAAUUAAAAAACAUUGAUUUUGAUUAACUUUUUACAGAAUGAUGAUACCAUCAACAG
rnacentral:lncRNA from 1 species